rnacentral:piRNA from 1 species
GAGCGGGAAGAGACUGGAGAUGAGGA